GUCUGGGCAGCGUCUUGGAAAAACUAUCCACUACAGUACAGGUCAAGUGAAGUUCUUCUGCUGAUAUGUUCUGCUACUGCAUAAGAGACGGAAUCUAUGUUGCCUCGACUGGUCCUGAACUCCUGGGCUAAAGCGAUCCUUCUGCCUUGGCCUCCCAAAGUGCGAGGAUUAUAGCAAUCAACAACACAGAAGACAACUUCUGCAACCCUAUCGGGAGAGGAGGGGUUCUCUCCACCACCAGUCCCCUGGAAGAAUUCUCAAAACACAGAAUGCUUGCCAAGUCAAUCCUAAGCCAAAAGAACAAAGCUGGAGGCAUCACACUACCUGACUUCAAACUAUACUACAAGGAUGCAGUAACCAAAACAGCAUGGUACUGGUACCAAAACAGAGAUAUAGACCAAUGGAACAGAACAGAGCCCUCAGAAAUAAUGCCGCUUAUCUACAACCAUCUGAUCUUUGACAAACCUGACAAAAACAAGAAAUGGGGAAAGGAUUCCCUAUUUAAUAAAUGGUGCUGGGAAAACUGGCUAGCCAUAUGCAGAAAGCUGAAACUGGAUCCCUUCCUUACACCUUAUGCUAAAAUUAAUUCAAGAUGGAUUAAAGACUUAAAUGUUAGACCUAAAACCAUAAAAACCGUAGAAUAAAACCUAGGCAAUACCAUUCAGGACAUAGGCAUGGGCAAGGACUUCAUGUUUAAAACACCAAAAGCCAUGGCAACAGAAGCCAAAAUUGACAAAUAGGAUCUAAUUAAACUAAAGAGCUUCUGCACAGCAAAAGAAACUACCAUCAGAGUGAACAGGCAACCUACAGAAUGGGAGAAAAUUUUUGCAAUCUACUCAUCUGACAAAGGGCUAGUAUCCAGAAUCUACAAUGAACUCAAACAAAUUUACAAGAAAAAAACAACCCCAUCAAAAAGUGGGCAAACGAUAUGAACAGACACUUCUCAAAAGACGACAUUUAUGCUGCCAAAAGACACAUGAAAAAAUGCUCAUCAUCACUGGCCAUCAGAGAAAUGCAAAUCAAAACCACAAUGAGAUACCAUCUCACACCAGUUAGAAUGGCGAUCAUUAAAAAGUCAGGAAACAACAGGUGCUGGAGAGGAUGUGGAGAAACAGGAACACUUUUACACUGUUAGUGGGACUGUAAACUAGUUCAACCAUUGUGGAAGUCAGUGUGGCGAUUCCUCAGGGAUCUAGAACUAGAAAUACCAUUUGACCCAGCCAUCCCAUUACUGGGUAUAUACCCAAAGGAUUAUAAAUCAUGCUGCUAUAAAGACACAUGCACACGUAUGUUUAUUGUGGCACUAUUC
rnacentral:lncRNA from 1 species